rnacentral:rRNA from 1 species
GACAAUGGAGGCAACUCUGAUCCAGCCAUGCCGCGUGCAGGAAGACGGCCCUAUGGGUUGUAAACUGCUUUUAUACAGGAAGAAAUGUACCUACGUGUAGGUAUUUGACGGUACUGUACGAAUAAGGAUCGGCUAACUCCGUGCCAGCAGCCGCGGUAAUACGGAGGAUCCAAGCGUUAUCCGGAAUCAUUGGGUUUAAAGGGUCCGUAGGCGGUCUUUUAAGUCAGAGGUGAAAUCCUACAGCUCAACUGUAGAAUUGCCUUUGAUACUGAAAGACUUGAGUUAUUGUGAAGUAAUUAGAAUGUGUGGUGUAGCGGUGAAAUGCAUAGAGAUCACACAGAAUACCGAUUGCGAAGGCAGAUUACUAACAAUAUACUGACGCUGAGGGACGAAAGCGUGGGUAGCGAACAGGAUUAGAUACCCUGGUAGUCCACGCCGUAAACGAUGGAUACUAGCUGUUCGACCAACAUUGGUUGGUUGAGUGGCUAAGCGAAAGUGAUAAGUAUCCCACCUGGGGAGUACGGUCGCAAGACUGAAACUCAAAGGAAUUGACGGGGGCCCGCACAAGCGGUGGAGCAUGUGGUUUAAUUCGAUGAUACGCGAGGAACCUUACC